rnacentral:tRNA from 1 species
AGCUUUAUAGUUUAAGUUUAAAACAUUAAAUUGCAAAUUUAAAGAAAAAUAUGAAAUUUUAAAGCUU